AACGAACGCUGGCGGCAUGCCUAACACAUGCCAGUCGAACGAUGCCUUCGGGCAUAGUGGCGCACGUGUGCGUAACGCGUGGGAAUCUGCCUUUCGGUUCGGAAUAACUCAGGGAAACUUGAGCUAAUACCGGAUAACGUCGCAAGACCAAAGAUUUAUCACCGAAAGAUGAGCCCGCGUAGGAUUAGCUAGUUGGUGAGGUAAAGGCUCACCAAGGCGACGAUCCUUAGCUGGUCUGAGAGGAUGAUCAGCCACACUGGGACUGAGACACGGCCCAGACUCCUACGGGAGGCAGCAGUGGGGAAUAUUGGACAAUGGGCGAAAGCCUGAUCCAGCAAUGCCGCGUGAGUGAUGAAGGCCUUAGGGUUGUAAAGCUCUUUUACCCGGGAAGAUAAUGACGGUACCGGGAGAAUAAGCCCCGGCUAACUCCGUG
rnacentral:rRNA from 1 species